rnacentral:rRNA from 1 species
UCCAGACUCCUACGGGAGGCAGCAGUGAGGAAUAUUGGUCAAUGGCCGGAAGGCUGAACCAGCCAUGCCGCGUGAAGGUCAGUGCCCUAUGGGCGUUAAACUUCUUUUGUGCGGGAGCAAUAAUGGUCACGUGUGGCCAGACGAGAGUACCGUACGAAUAAGCAUCGGCUAACUCCGUGCCAGCAGCCGCGGUAAUACGGGGGAUGCAAGCGUUAUCCGGAUUUAUUGGGUUUAAAGGGUGCGUAGGCCGGCUUUUAAGUCAGCUGUGAAAGUCCGCGGCUCAACCGUGGAAUUGCAGUUGAAACUGGAGGCCUUGAGUGCACACAGGGAUGCCGGAAUUCAUGGUGUAGCGGUGAAAUGCUUAGAUAUCAUGAAGAACUCCGAUCGCGAAGGCAAGUGUCCGGGGUGCAACUGACGCUGAGGCUCGAAAGUGCGGGUAUCAAACAGGAUUAGAUACCCGCGUAC